rnacentral:rRNA from 1 species
AGUGAACGCUGGCGGUAGGCCUAACACAUGCAAGUCGAACGGCAGCACAGUAAGAGCUUGCUCUUACGGGUGGCGAGUGGCGGACGGGUGAGGAAUACAUCGGAAUCUACUUUUUCGUGGGGGAUAACGUAGGGAAACUUACGCUAAUACCGCAUACGACCUACGGGUGAAAGCAGGGGAUCUUCGGACCUUGCGCGAUUGAAUGAGCCGAUGUCGGAUUAGCUAGUUGGCGGGGUAAAGGCCCACCAAGGCGACGAUCCGUAGCUGGUCUGAGAGGAUGAUCAGCCACACUGGAACUGAGACACGGUCCAGACUCCGACGGGAGGCAGCAGUGGGGAAUAUUGGACAAUGGGCGCAAGCCUGAUCCAGCCAUACCGCGUGGGUGAAGAAGGCCUUCGGGUUGUAAAGCCCUUUUGUUGGGAAAGAAAAGCAGCAGGUUAAUACCCCGCUGUUCUGACGGUACCCAAAGAAUAAGCGCCGGCUAACUUCGUG